UUCCAUCAACCAAACCGGGAUCAAAUCCUUCUUAUUAUCAUCAAGAAUCUGCAAUAUAAGAAUUGAAAGUUACCUGGUUUGUGAAAUAAUAAAAUACAGCAGUGCAGCAACAAAAAAAUCAGCAGCAAAUACAGUAGAAACAGCAGCGACUCAAGUGUUAAGACAACCUAGAAAACUCAACAAAGAUGCUUGAAACUGGUAGCUAUCAACUUCACAAAUUACCUAAGGGAUCUUUCUAUUUUUCUCGAGGUUUUUGCACUCAAAUAAUCCUCACAAAACUCUGAAAUUUUAGCUUGUUAUAUGUAUUAAGCUGCUGAUUUUUCUCAAAGAUAUAUGUUUUUAAACAACUCUCCAAGAUGUGUCUCAGUAUAAGAUAGAGUGUGUAAUAGAGUUUUCCCCCUUUUCAGUGAGUAAAGAGCCCUUUAAAUAGGCAAAUAAAUCAGAUUUUUGGACAGAUUUUGGUUCACCAAAAAUAUGUCCAAAAGACUAACUUUGUGUGCUAAACACUAUUCAAGGUCUGUCCCAAAGGUGAAAGGACAACCUGAAAAUCUGUUGUGUCAGAAGCAAGGAGAAAAAAUGUCCUUUCAGCCACCCUACUAGUAAAAGUAAGUUACUAGUACCCUAUUUUGUGAUAAAAUAAACUAAACUUCAGAUUUUAACCAUCAACAACAAACUACUUGCUCAACACAAAUCAAACUUGGACAAUUAUGAAUCGACAAAGCAUAGACGAGACUAAAAACGUAAUUGAACUAAGUAUUAAAACCAACUUGACGGGAAUGAAUUCGAUUUGUGCAAACUAAUUACUAAACAAACAACUAAAUUUACAAACUAAUGCUCAAAACAGAGCGAGCAUCGUUAACAAUCGGACAACGACUAACAAUAACUAAAUAAUCGACUAACUAAGUGAACGAUUUAACUAAUACACUAAAGAUCAUGUUUAAAUCAAUAACGAAUCUAACAAACCACUAGACUAAAUAGAGAUAGCUAAUUAAAUAAACCUAACUUGAAACUCUAAUUAACAAGAAAUAACCAAAAUAGAAAAAUAAAUAAAUAAAAAAUCAGAAACUAAUCUACUAAAAUAAAUUAAAAAAUCAGAAAUUAAUUAAAGAGAUGACGAUUAUACCUAACAAGUAUGCUUGAAGCCGUUCGAGCCACGAGAAGACGUCGAAGAUGCUAAAAGGCGACUACCCGACUUCGAAACGCACGUUUCUUUCGGGUAGAUGCUAGAACGAAAUGCGUUUCAGCAUCUCGCCAAAAGAAACGAAUGUCUUUGAGUCGAAAAAUAGCUAAGAUGGGGGUUCGGGGCAUUUUGGCGGUGGAGCCGUGGCGGCAGCGAGGAGCGGGCCGACGACGACGUGGAUUUUGGGGGGUGAAAUGGAUAGGAAAAGAUAGGUCUCGUGGAGCUCUAUCCAUUCAUGUAUGUGUUGUAGGGUGGUGUUGAACGGAGCUUCAAGAAUUUGGACCAAAAAGUGGCGGCUAAAGUUUCUUAGAUCUAAAAUUCAAGGAGUUUGAGGGUUUUUUAAAGAAAUUGGUUUGGAGAUAUGGGAAGAGGAGGUUGUGGAGAUUAUAUGGUGUUAAUUUGGAGGUGUUUGGAGGUGGUCCGCCGCCGGUGGGUGAUUUCCGGCAGCGGCGGUGGCGACAGAGAGAAGAGAGAGAGAGAGAGAGAGAGAGA
rnacentral:lncRNA from 1 species